AUACGGAGGGGGCUAGCGUUGUUCGGAAUUACUGGGCGUAAAGCGCGCGUAGGCGGGUUGGCAAGUUGAAGGUGAAAUCCCAGGGCUCAACCCUGGAACUGCCUCCAAAACUGCCAGUCUUGAGUUCGGAAGAGGUGAGUGGAAUUCCUAGUGUAGAGGUGAAAUUCGUAGAUAUUAGGAAGAACACCAGUGGCGAAGGCGACUCACUGGUCCGAUACUGACGCUGAGGUGCGAAAGCGUGGGGAGCAAACAGGAUUAGAAACCCCUGUAGUCC
rnacentral:rRNA from 1 species